GACGUGAAAUAUGGCGAGGAAAACAGAAAAAGGUGGAAAAUUUAGAAAUGUCCACUGUAGGACAUGGAAUAUGGCAAGAAAACUGAAAAUCAUGGAAAAUGAGAAACAUCCACUUGACGACUUGAAAAAUGACGAAAUCACUGAAAAACGUGAAAAAUGAGAAAUGCACACUGUAGGACCUGGAAUAUGGCGAGAAAACUGAAAAUCACUGAAAAUGAGAAAUACACACUUUAGGACAUGAAAUAUGGCGAGGAAAACUGAAAAAGGUGGAAAAUUUAGAAAUGUCCACUGUAGGACAUGGAAUAUGGCAAGAAAACUGAAAAUCAUGGAAAAUGAGAAACAUCCACUUGACGACUUGAAAAAAGACGAAAUCACUGAAAAACCUGAAAAAUGAGAAAUGCACACUGUAGGACCUGGAAUAUGGCGAGAAAACUGAAAAUCACGGAAAAUGAGAAAUACACACUUUAGGACGUGAAAUAUGGCGAGGAAAACUGAAAAAGGUGGAAAAUUUAGAAAUGUCCACUGUAGGACAUGGAAUAUGGCAAGAAAACUGAAAAUCAUGGAAAAUGAGAAACAUCCACUUGACGACUUGAAAAAAGACGAAAUCACUGAAAAACGUGAAAAAUGAGAAAUGCACACUGUAGGACCUGGAAUAUGGCGAGGAAACUGAAAAUCACGGAAAAUGAGAAAUACACACUUUAGGACGUGAAAUAUGGCGAGGAAAACUGAAAAAGGUGGAAAAUUUAGAAAUGUCCAUUGUAGGACAUGGAAUAUGGCAAGAAAACUGAAAAUCAUGGAAAAUGAGAAACAUCCACUUGACAACUUGAAAAAUGACGAAAUCACUGAAAAACGUGAAAAAUGAGAAAUGCACACUGUAGGACCUGGAAUAUGGCGAGAAAACUGAAAAUCACGGAAAAUGAGAAAUACACACUUUAGGACGUGAAAUAUGGCGAGGAAAACUGAAAAAGGUGGAAAAUUUAGAAAUGUCCACUGUAGGACAUGGAAUAUGGCAAGAAAACUGAAAAUCAUGGAAAAUGAGAAACAUCCACUUGACGACGUGAAAAAUGACGAAAUCACUGAAAAACGUGAAAAAUGAGAAAUGCACACUGUAGG
rnacentral:lncRNA from 1 species